rnacentral:rRNA from 1 species
UACGUAGGGGGCAAGCGUUGUCCGGAUUUAUUGGGCGUAAAGAGCGUGUAGGCGGCCUGAAAGGUCAGCUGUGAAAACUCGAGGCUCAACCUCGAGACGUCGGUUGAAACCAUCUGGCUAGAGUCCGGAAGAGGAGUGUGGAAUUCCCGGUGUAGCGGUGAAAUGCGCAGAUAUCGGGAAGAACACCCGUGGCGAAGGCGGCACUCUGGGAUGGUACUGACGCUGAGACGCGAAAGCGUGGGGAGCGAACAGG